UCAAGCGAAGAAGGGCGCAGGGCGGAUGCCUUGGCACUGAGAGCCGAUGAAAGACGUGAUAAGCUGCGAUAAGCUUCGGGGAGGAGCAAAUAUCCUUUGAUCCGGAGAUCUCUGAAUGGGGAAACCCGGCUGUAUGGACUACAGUCAUCCAUAAGUGAAUCCAUAGCUUAUGGAAGGGAACCCGGGGAACUGAAACAUCUAAGUACCCGGAGGAAGAGAAAGAAACAUCGAUUCCGUAAGUAGCGGCGAGCGAACGCGGAAGAGCCCAAACCGUGAUGCGUGCAUCGCGGGGUUCGGACUGCAGAAGGGAUUCAGCAACGACAGGAGAACGGCUUUGGAACAGCCGGCCAGAGAGGGUGAGAGCCCCGUAUCCAAAGUCAGAGCUGACCUGGCAGGAUCCAGAGUACCACGGGACACGGGAAACCCUGUGGGAACGAGCGGAGACCACUCCGUAAGGCUAAAUACUACUCAGUGACCGAUAGCGUAUAGUACUGUGAAGGAAAGGUGAAAAGAACCCCGGGAGGGGAGUGAAAGAGAACCUGAAACCCUGUGUCUACAAGCUGUGGAAGCACCCUACGAGUGCAACCGCGUACUUUUUGUAGAACGGUCCGGCGAGUUAUGUGGUGUGGCAAGGUUAAGCACGGAAAGUGUGGAGCCGAAGGGAAACCAAGUCUUAACUGGGCGGUUAAGUCACAUAACAUAGACCCGAAACCGGGUGAUCUAUCCAUGUCCAGGUUGAAGCUGCUGUAAAAGGUGGUGGAGGACCGAACGCACAUCCGUUGAAAAGGGUGGCGAUGAGGUGUGGAUAGGGGAGAAAUUCCAAUCGAACUCGGAGAUAGCUGGUUCUCCUCGAAAUAGUUUUAGGACUAGCCUGUCAGGAGUCUGCUGGAGGUAGAGCACUGAAUUUUUGCGGGGGCGUCAAAGCCUACCAAUGAAUAUCAAACUCCGAAUGCCAGCCAGAUGCUCUGAUGGAGUCAGACUGCACGAGAUAAGUUGGGUAGUCAAAAGGGAAACAGCCCAGACCACCAGCUAAGGUCCCAAAGUGCGUGUUAAGUGGAAAAGGAUGUGGGAAUUCGAAGACAACUAGGAUGUUGGCUCAGAAGCAGCCAUUCAUUCAAAGAGUGCGUAACAGCUCACUAGUCGAGAGUUCCUGCGCCGAAAAUGUCCGGGGCUAAAACACGACACCGAAGCUGUGGAAUCAUGCUUGCAUGAUUGGUAGAGGAGCAUUCGCUGAGAGACGAAGCUGUACCGAAAGGAGCAGUGGAUUUCAGUGAAGAGAGAAUGCCGGAAUGAGUAGCGAGAGAUAGGUGAGAAUCCUAUCGGCCGAAUAUCUAAGGUUUCCAGAGUAAAGCUGAUCUGCUCUGGGUAAGUCGGGGCCUAAGGCGAGGUCGAAAGACGUAGUCGAUGGAUAACAGGUUGAAAUUCCUGUACUAUCCUGUAACAGAACUGUGGGGACACAGGCAGAGAGCGUGAGCCGGGAAUGGAAAGACCGGUACAAGCGAGGUAGGAGAAGAGUUGGCAAAUCCGCUCUUCAAUCUGAAGACGUGAUGUGGACCGAAAAGAAGUAGGGAAGCACGUGAGCUGACUGUCAAGAAAAGCCGCUAUUGUUUGCAGGAUACCCGUACCGUAAACCGACACAGGUGGAUGAGGAGAGAAUCCUAAGGCCGACGGGAGAAGCAUUGUUAAGGAACUCGGCAAAAUGACUCCGUAACUUCGGGAGAAGGAGUGCCAGUAAGAUGGCCGCAGAGAAUUGGCCCAAGCAACUGUUUAGCAAAAACACAGGUCUAUGCAAAACCGAAAGGUGAGGUAUAUGGGCUGACGCCUGCCCGGUGCUGGAAGGUUAAGAGGAGAUGUUAGAGCAAUCGAAGCAUUGAAUUUAAGCCCCAGUAAACGGCGGCCGUAACUAUAACGGUCCUAAGGUAGCGAAAUUCCUUGUCGGGUAAGUUC
rnacentral:rRNA from 1 species